AGAUUCUUCUCAAGGAUACAGAGACCGGACCUCUGGGUCAGGUGCUCAUCACAUGCAGCAGCUCAGAGAAUUUGUGCCUCCAGGUGACUUCCAGGAGCUCUCUACUUGGAACCAGGAUAAAAAGAACAACGAUCGCCAUCAGAGUGUCCCUGAGAUUGAAGAGAGGUGAGCCCAGUACCGCAGAGGAAAAGGCUCUGUUCUCACGGCUGUGAUCUCCACGGGCUGCUCUUGCAACUGGGGGAAGUCCGGUCUCCCAGGACAUACUCUCCUCCCUUCUGUGAGCUGUGGCAUCUGGGAUAGAUUAAGGAGCUACAUUACUGCAUAAACGAAGUGCAUUCCUGUUUAUAACCUACCUGGCUUUUAUGAAAUCAGUGAUGUGGGACAUGGAAAAACAGUACGGCUUUUUGUGACGUUGGUUUGGAUUUUUGAGAGAAACUACCAAGACUCCUUCACACCUGGUAAUGAGCAUUGUCUACCUUAAGGAUCUUAGAACAUUGAGGGUGCAAGAACAUAAAGAAGAACAUCUUGUUGCAGGAUGUUGAUUGGUUGUUUUUGGUUUUGUUUUUGUUCUCAGUGCUUAUUUCACAGAAAUGCUAUCAGCCAGUUCCUAGAUUCUGGCUUUCACAAAUUCUUUGGUCUCUAUGAGGUAGAGCAGCUGCACAUUAGAAUUGCUGGAGAGAGCUUUUUAACUACCGAUGCAAUAUUCCCAGCUCUGAUCAAUUAAACUCAGGUUUCUCAGAGUAUCAACAUUAGUAUUAGUAACUUUUUAAAAUUUCCCAAGUUAUUCUGGAUGCAAGUAGGGUUGAAAACAGCUGGGACAGAGAAUGGGAUCAAACUAUCAGUUAAACAAGAGCAUGAACAGUAAGAAUGGCAGCAGCCGUCAAAUGGGUAUAAUGUUUGUGUGCCCCCCAACCCCUAAAAUGCACAUGUUGAGACCUAACCCCCCAUGUAGCAGUAUUUGGAGGUGGGGCCUUUGAAAGGUGAUUAGGCCAUGAGAGUGGAACCUUUAUGAAUGGUAGUAAUGCCCUUAUAAAGAAGACUUCAGAGAGCUCUCUUGCCCCUUGUGAAGACACAGCAAGAGGUCUGUGGGUGGGAAGCAGGCCCUCACCAAACCAUGCUGGCACCCUGAUCAUGGACUUGCAGCUUCCAGAACUGUGAGAAAUAAACUUCUGUUGUUUGUAAGUCACCCAGUCUGUGCCAUUUUGUUAUAGCUGCCCAAAGGGAAUAAGACAGCCAUCAACCCAAAGUAAGAGAGAGAGAAUUUAUGGCCACUCUCCUCAAAAUCUCUUCACCCACUUACUUCAACAUUUUAUAUCCUUUCCUUAAGUUGCUAAUUUAUCUUAUUUAUUGCCUGCCUUUCUCAGUAGACUAGAAGCUCCACAAGGGUGUUUCUUUACAACUGGAUAGAUUUCCAACUCCUAGGCCAGUGCCUGAUCACAUUUUAUGUUCUUAACUAUUUGCUGGAAAAAGGAAUGAAUGGAUGGGAAUUAUGUCUGGUUUGGGAACUGUCUGUGUAGAGCAGUUGGAAAAUACAAUGGUGACUGAAAAGAUGCUCAACGUCCUUCCUCAUCAGGGAAAUACAAAUCAAAACCACACUCAGAUAUCACCUCACGCCAGUCAG